rnacentral:lncRNA from 1 species
CCGUGGGCACGUUCUCGCUUCCACUCGGUCCUCCUUUUGUUAGCGCUCUGGCUUCCAUCAGGUCUACGCCUGCUCCCGUGCAAUCCGGCGCCAUCGCGCUUUGGGCGAGCAUGGCAAUGGGGAGUUGAGAGGUGGGAACCGAGCUGACGCCUGCCUGGCCCUGGCGAUGGUGGUGUGCGCCGGGAAAGGACUGAUUGGAGAAUGGUGCCUAAAGGGAUGCCGAGGGGACGCAGGAGCUCUCGGUGUGACCUGGCGCUGUGGAUGUAAUACACAUCAGCUUGAGUGGGGCUGCUCCGCUGUCCUCAUGAGAGAACCCUUUUUCUGAAGAUGGGAGGUGGCUAAUGAAAGAAGGAAUUGUGUUCUCGGUGAUGUCCUGAAGAGAUGCGGGAUGAUGGAAGAUGAUGAUGAAAUGCAGGAGAGGAAUGAAAUCAAAGGAUGUUUUUUGUAAGAGUAAUGCUUACAGAAAUAUUCAUUAAUUUGAAGAUUUAUAUAAGGCUUGGUGACCUCCGUUAAUUCCUGGGACCCACAGUGUGGAAGAAGAGACCUGACUCCUGGAAGUUGUCUUCUGACCACAUGCACACAAUACGUAAAUAAAUGUAAUUAAAAACAAUCAAAAUAGUAAAACUG